rnacentral:rRNA from 1 species
UCCAGACUCCUACGGGAGGCAGCAGUGGGGAAUAUUGGGCAAUGGGCGCAAGCCUUACCCAGCAAUACCGCGUGAGUGAAGAAGGUCUUCGGAUUGUAAAGCUCUUUGAUCAGGGACGAACAGAUGACGGUACCUGAAGAACAAGCCCCGGCUAACUACGUGCCAGCAGCCGCGGUAAUACGUAGGGGGCAAGCGUUAUCCGGAUUUACUGGGUGUAAAGGGAGCGUAGACGGCAUGGCAAGUCAGAUGUGAAAGCCCGGGGCUCAACCCCGGGACUGCAUUUGAAACUGUCAGGCUGGAGUGCAGGAGAGGUAAGUGGGAUUCCUAGUGUAGCGGUGAAAUGCGUAGAUAUUAGGAGGAACACCAGUGGCGAAGGCGGCUUACUGGACUGUAACUGACGUUGAGGCUCGAAAGCGUGGGGAGCAAACAGGAUUAGAUACCCGAGUA